AAAAGAUUAUUAUGUACGAGCGAAUAAUAAGGGGAAAAGAAUAAAAGAAACUGAAGGUGGAUAAGAGUGUUCUAUGUUUCAUUUGGAAUGUUCCAAGUUAAAGGCUGAGAGACGGUGGAGUUUGGGGAGGAAAGGUUUUGGGGGUAGACUUGGCUAUUCUGGACAAAAUUGAUUCUGGAUUGGAUGUUGCUGCACUCAGAGAUUUUGCAAGUGCAGUCAAUCGUAUACUGACCCCAAAGAAUUCUUUGAUGAAUUGAUAACUCACUAUCGAAGAAUACUAGAUCUUUUAAAUCCCACACAUGUCUAUGUUAUGAGGCAGCAUUUUGGGAUAAGGUUUAUGUUCUCAAGGAAUGAGAUGAUGGCUAAUUGGCUAUUGAAGUUGAACGAAGAGAGAGUUAAAAGAGUGGAAGAGAAUCAGAUUGCUUGUAUUGCAAGAAUGAAAUUGAGAGAGGUUGUUACAACAAAAUUGAGGGGAAAAAAAAUAAUAAAAUAUUAAAAUCUACAUAGCAUGUGCUCAGCUAUAUGAUUGUUUCUAAUUUUGUUAUUUAUCAUAACUCAUUCGGGUCGGGUCGGGUAUCCACUAUCCAACAUAAAUAACGAGAUUAACUAUAAGGCAAAUUUUCUAAUGUCUUUAAGU